UACGGGGGGGGCUAGCGUUGUUCGGAAUUACUGGGCGUAAAGGGCUCGUAGGCGGCCAACUAAGUCAGACGUGAAAUCCCUCGGCUUAACCGAGGAACUGCGUCUGAUACUGGAUGGCUGGAAUCUGGGAGAGGGAUGCGGAAUUCCAGGUGUAGCGGUGAAAUGCGUAGAUAUCUGGAGGAACACCGGUGGCGAAGGCGGCAUCCUGGACCGGCAUUGACGCUGAGGAGCGAAAGCCAGGGGAGCAAACGGG
rnacentral:rRNA from 1 species